rnacentral:misc_RNA from 1 species
AACGGUCUAUACCUGCGGUACCUGCGGAGGGAUCAUUAAAGUAAUUUGAUUUUGAAUGUUCUUUGGAAGAUUCAAACAAUCUGACUUUGUGGUAUUAUUGAAAAACUGUAUUGGAUUUAAAGAUGAUAUUUUACUUCUCGUAAGUGGUAUCGAUCCAAGCUUUUUUUAAUCAACUCUCUUAUCAUGUGACUGAAAUUUAUCAAGUUUUAAAUCUUAUUGGUUUAAAAAAAAAGUUUAAAU